AUAAUAUGCUUGUGAGAGAUACUUGUCAUUAGAAAGUGUCCUUUGGACUCUGGUAUGUUUCAGUUGCACGUUUCCCUUAGCUGGGGUUCAGGCACUUGGGGCCCAGAGAGGGGAGAGGUCAGACUUGUUUUUUACAUGUCUCUGUUGCUAUGCAGAAUAUCAGCAAGAGAGGAGGACAGAAUGAUAUUGUCUUCAUGUGAAUGUGUCUUUACCUAUUCUUAAACCAUGUGAAGGGAUGGCGUGAUUAAUGGGGAACCAAUUAUUUGUCUCCACAAUGUCUGUGCGCAGGUCACUCCCCUCUCAGUGAGCUUGUCCAGGAGUGGGAACAAGAGGUGUUUUACUGAGGAUGGGCCACUAUGAGAUAGCACUGACAAAGGAAAUGUAUGAUGUAUUUUGAUAAGAAGGCCUAAAAAGCAUUCCAGAGGACAUGAGCUAAUGGUUCUGUUCAAUACCGUACCAGGGAGGGACAGUUCUAAGGGGACCAGAUACUGGUCUAUAUAAUGAACCCUGUUGACAUAGCAGUUACUGUCUGCUGUGUUUUAUGGAUAUCUGUCAUAUAAAACUUAACCUUUGUGAACUGUUACUAAGAUCUGUGGUUUGUCAAUGUACGUUGAAGGGGGUGUAUCUUUGCUAUAAAAUAUCUCUGUAGCCAUUGUGUAAUCACCUUCCUGGUUCAUUUGAGAGAGUGCAUUAUUGAAGGUCAAAGAGGCUUUUGCAAAAGUAUCUUAAGUAUUAAAGAUGUAGUUAAAUCGGACUGGUGUGUUUAACUCUCCUCAUUUGGUAAUGCAGAAAUUAGCCACCACAGAGCUCAACUGUGAAUGGUCCUGGCGCACCAAAAAAAAGAGUAAAGGGAAUCCAAUUUGGAUUUAGCGUCACUCCUAUCAAAUCACAUUGAGGGCAUAUGUCAUUGACAGAAACAAACUGAAUCGUUUCAUCUCGUGGUGUUGUUGGUGGUGUUGUUGUCAUCCAGUGGCUAGCUAGCUAAAAUUGGCCCUUUCCUAAAUUAGCCAUGGAUGGAGAUAGGGAUUUGGACAUGUUUUACUUAAUUCUCCGUACUGGCCAAUGAUUGUAAUGGCAAUGUAGAAGUUUAAUAUUAAUUGUAACUAGUUUAAGGUUAAGGUUAUGGUUAACUACCUAAUGUUGCCCAUGAAAGGAAGUUAGGCAGGCGAGCAAGUAUUUUAGUCAGGUAGCUUAGGACAACAGAAACGAAAAGCAUGUACUGUAUCAUGACAGAGUCAUAGACCGUUUAGGCAACAUAAACACAGAAAUCAGUACCAUGGACAGCCACAUCAUAUUUAGCUCACGUUGAUUGGACAAAAUAGUUUUUUAGAUCUUUUAGUUGUCACUAUAUUGGACUAAACAUAGGUGAUUAUGUUGAAGUUGAAAUGGUGCUGGAAUAGUGGAGGCAGCUCCUGUUUUAUUUGCGACUUGCGGUAACUCUCCAUGGUUCUAAAUCAAUAGUUAUUUAGUAGUUCGAAAAUGUCAAAAACAUUACCUUGCUUGACCAUGCUGACGGUCAGGUAACUGUUUGUUACAUGCAAUAUGUGUCAAGGCAUAUGAACUAACAGGUUAUAGAGCAAACAACGCAGUUAUCACAACACAUAGGUUGUAAUAUGGCUUUUUACUUCUUCUGGAUUGGCUUCUCUGGGGAUUUUACCCAAGCACCGCUACUGACAGGCAUUCUUCCAGCAGACAACGCUCUGCCUGGUGUAGCUACUUUUCUCCGUGUAGCCAGCCUACUUCUUUCCAGUAAAACGCAAGAAUAACUUUAAUCAAAACAUUAGCAAAUGUAGGUGGCUAAUAUGUAGGUGGCUACCAUUUACUUGUGUAGCUGCCAGCCAAAUAGUGUUGCACUUCUGUUGUCAUCUGAUAACAAUGAAGCUAUUUUCUGCUGAAUAUGUUGCACUAAUGUAUUUUCUGUGAAGGAAACUAUAGUUGCAUGUCCCUGAUCAAUGGAUUAAACCAAAAAAACACUGUUCACUUUCAAUAUAAAACGUGACCCCUGUCAGUACACAACUGGACUCACCUACAAACUGUCACGUCCUGACCAUGGUAAGCUGUUAUUUUCUAUGGUAGAGUAGGUCAGGGCGUGACGGGGGGUUUUCUAGUUUAGUUUUUUCUAUGUUGUUAUGUUCUAGUUUUGUAUUUCUAUGUUGGGUUGUUCUAGUUUUUGUAUUUCUAUGUUGGGCUUUGUUUGAGAUGAUCUCCAAUUAGAGGCAGCUGGUCAUCGUUGUCUCUAAUUGGAGGUCAUAUGUUUUUGGGGGGGGCACACGGGGAGAUUGGCAGAGUCAGGGUGGAGACCUGAGCCAAUUCCCCGUGCUUACCGUGGGGAGCAAGUGAAGAAGCAAGCACCGUGUUAUGCGGUGAUGAUUCACAGUCCGGUGUGAUCUGUGCCCGCGCCCCGCAUUUGCCGAGCUAGGUUGAGCAUUCAGCCAGGAAGGGUGGUGCCAGCUCAGCGCUCCUGGUCUCCAGUUCGCCUUCUCGGUCCAGGAUAUCCUGCUCUGGCGCUGCGCACUGUGUCACCAGUGCGUAUUCACAGCCCAGUGCGUCCUGUGCCCGCACCCCGCGUUUGCCGGGCGAAAGUAAGCAUCCAGCCAGGACGGGUUGUGCCAGCUCUACGCUCGAGACCUCCAGUGCGCCUCCACUGUCCAGUAUAUCCUGUGCCUGCCCCACGUACCCGGCCUCCAGUGAGUCUAUCCAGCCUGGUACGCCCUGUUCCUGCUCCCCGCACUUGCCCUGAGGUGCGUGUUACCAGUCUGGCGCCACCUAUGCCAGCCCCAUGCAUCAGGCCUCCAGUGCACCUGCCCAGUCCGGGGUGUCGUGUUCCUGCUCCCCGCACUCGCCAUGAGAUGCGUGUUACUAGUCUGGCGCCACCUAUGCCAGCCCCACGCAUCAGGCCUCCAGUGCGCAUUCCCAGUCCAGAGCUUCCGGCGACAGUUCCCAGUCCGGAGCUUCCGGCGACAUUCUACAGUCCGGAGCCUCCUGAGACGGCCCGCAGUCCGGAGCCUCCUGAGACGGCCCGCAGUCCGGAGCCUCCUGAGACGGCCCGCAGUCCGGAGCCUCCUGAGAUGGCCCGCAGUCUGGAGCCUCCGGCGAUGUCCCGCAGGCGGCGGUCUGCAGUCUAGAACCUCCGACGGCAGUCUACAGUCUAGAACCUCCGGUGAUGAUCCACGGUCCGAAGAUGAGCAUACAUAUACCCGCUGCGUUUUGGUCCGCUCACUACGAUGAUUAUGACAGAACUACCCACCAAGAAAGGACCAAGCAGCGGAGGAAGGAGCAACAGGAGAGUUAUCUCGAGUCCUGGACAUGGGAGGAGAUACUAGCUGGAGAAGGACCAUGGAGGAAGGCUGGAGAGGACCGGGAACGUUAUGCCGGAACACGGCUGGCAAGGAAGCCUGAGAAGCAGCCCACACGGGGAGAUUGGCUAAGUCAGUCAAUAGACCUGAGCCAACUCCCCGUGCUUAUUAUGGGGAGCAACUGAUCAAGAAGGCACCGAGCUAUGCGGAAAUGCGCACUGUAUUUCCGAGACGCAGUCAAAGCCCGGUGCGGUCGAUACCAGUUCCCCGCAAGUGCCGUGCUAGAGUGGGCAUCCAGCCAGGGAGAAGUGCGCCGGCGCAGCACAUCUGGCCACCAGUGCGUUUCCUAGGCCCAGUCUACCCUGCGCCUGCUCUACGCACGGCAACCAUCAGUCCUCAGCAAAGCCCAGUUCGCCCUGUGCCAGCACUCUGCCCGUGCAGGGCUACGCUGACAAGCCAGCCAGAAGGGGUUGUGCAGGCUGUGUGCUCCAGACCUCCAGUGCAUUUUCAAGACCCGGUGUAUCCUGUUCCUGCUCCUCGCACUAGCCCUGUAGUGCGUGUUAUUGUUCUGGCGCCUCCAAAGCCAGCACCACGCAUCAGGCUUUUAGUGCGCCUGCCCAGUCUGGUACGUCCUGUUCCUGCUCCUCGCACUAGCCCUGUGGUGCAUGUCACUAGUCUGGCGCCUCCAAAGCCAGUCCCACGCACAAGGCCUUUAGUGCGCCUGCCCAGUCCAGUACGUCCUGUUCCUACUCCUCGCACUAGCCCUGUGGUGCAUGUCACUAGUCUGGCGCCUCCAAUGCCAGUCCCAUGCAUCAGGCCUUCAGUGCGCAGUCCCCGUCUAGAGCUUCCGGCGACAGUGCCCCGUCUAGAGCUUCCGGCAACAGUGCCCCAUCUAGAGCUUCCGCCGACAGUGCCCCGACUAGAGCUUCCGGCGACAGUUCCCCGUCCAGUGCUUUUGGCGACGUCCUACAGUCCGGAACCGACAGAGACGGCCCACAGUCCGGAACCGACAGAGACGGCCCACAGUCCGGAACCGACAGAGACGCCCGCC
rnacentral:lncRNA from 1 species